rnacentral:tRNA from 1 species
GCGGGCGUGGCGGAAUGGCAGACGCGCCAGAUUUAGGAUCUGGUGUCCCAAGGGCAUAUGAGUUCGAGUCUCUUCGCCCGCACCA